rnacentral:rRNA from 1 species
CAAGUCGAGCGGGCCCUUCGGGGUCGAGCGGCGGACGGGUGAGUAACGCGUGGGAACGUGCCUUCUGGUUCGGAAUAACCCUGGGAAACUAGGGCUAAUACCGGAUACGCCCUUUUGGGGAAAGGUUUACUGCCGGAAGAUCGGCCCGCGUCUGAUUAGCUAGUUGGUGGGGUAACGGCCUACCAAGGCGACGAUCAGUAGCUGGUCUGAGAGGAUGAUCAGCCACACUGGGACUGAGACACGGCCCAG